GGCACAUGCGCAGGAUCGUCGUGGCGCAAGGCUCUCUACUUCCUUGGUUCCAGUCCCCGCUGUGUCUUGCGCUCCUGUGUGUGCCUGCGUGGCCCCUGUGCGGCAGUGGAGGUGGUCAGCUUUCGGACACUACUCCGGUGACACACUAGUGAUGAAACAAAUCAGGGACUAUCUUAAACGUUUCGUAAAAAAAAAAAAAAAAGAGACAAAAAUCGCUUUUAACUAAACUCCAAGCCACCGAGUGCGCCUUCGAGCCCUGGGUGGCCGCUCAGGAACUUAAAACCGCGCAUCGCUGUCGUGUUCUCGCCCUCCGCCAGCGCCUCCCAGAUCUGUCACACCUAAGCCUAGAACCACCUCACGAGGAAAGAAAGCAGAUUAGUAGAGCCCCCAGAGACCAGGACUGCAGGACUACAAGGACACACGCUGAACACAAGGCCCUUUCUACAGCUCUCAUUCAUAGUAAACUGUUAGCCACUGGGGUGAUAAGGAGAUAGAAGAUUGAAGCUUUGCUUACCUCAUACCUCAGCUGGGAUUCCUGAUAUGGGCAAUAUUUAUUUUGUAUUAUGCAGAGUUUUUUAGUUCCUAGGGAGGAGAAGGAAGAGGAAAAAGAAUGUGGAGGAAGAAGGAAAAGGAAGAAGAAGAAGAAGAAAAAUAGACACUAUCAG
rnacentral:lncRNA from 1 species